UCGAUUCCGGGCUUUCAAUAAGUGUGCGUUGUCGGUUUUUUAAGAGCGAGUAAAAUGGGUUUGGACAAUAUCAAAUUUGAGUUUAAGGAAGGAAGCCGUGCAGGUUGCUCUCAAUUAUUAUAUACUCCAAGUGACCAACAAAUUUACAAAAAAAAAUAAACAAUUAAAUCGUUCAAAGGAUUACAGAGCACGGGUUUAUUUAAGUGCAGAUAGGGCUCGCGUCUUUUCCAAUCCUGAAAAAAUUAAGCAUAUUCAUGGACCACAAGGCCAUGAAAUGGAAAAAAUCGAAGUGCUGUCGCAAAUAAAAUUGAAGUGUCAAACCAAUUCCGACGAUACCAAAAAAAUAUUUAAUGAUGUUCUCGCGAGAAAAACAAAUGGAGAAGAGGAAAUAGAAAUAAGUUAUGAUACGGUGAAACGCAUUCUACAGCGAAAAAGACAACCCUUUCUUCCAAAAUCUCCAAUUACUCCCGUGCGCGAUGCUUUCAAUGAUAAAAAUAUCAUGAACCGUUUUGGCAUGACAAAAGGAAAUUUUCCGUUUUUUUUAAGAAAUUAUAUGCAUGAAGUUAAUUUGCCUAUUGUGAUUUGCGUCUGACAAGGUCAUCACUUUGAUGCAAGCCAAUAUUGAGGAGCAGCAUAUGCAUUUUGUAAUAGAUGCUACAUUUAAAGUUUGCCCUUUCGGGGACUUUAAGCAACUGCUUCUUAUUUAUGUUAAACACAUGCAAAAGAUAACACCGUUCCUAUUUGUUUUGAUGACUCGUAAAACAGAGCUCUGUUACCACCUAUUUACAUAUGUUGACUCAAAUAUUUGCUGUCUUAAUGGUGCAUCAUUUAUAUCGGAUUAUGAGAAUGCGAUGCGCAACGCUUUGAAAAAUUGGCAUCCAAAUAUUAAUUUCUUUGCUUGCUGGUUCCAUUUUACCCAAGCAUGUAAAAUAAAUGCAUUCAAAACUAUUGGUUUUGAGAAAAUGCUUUCGUGCAAUAAACAUGCGUAUAUGCUGUUUAUGAAAUUUCUAUAUUUACCUCUUUUACCGGAAUGCAAGAUUGUUGAAGCAUUUUGUCUUCUUGAAGCUCAAGCCACAGCCUUAGAUAAGAAGAUGCUUUCGCCCUUUUUAAAAUAUUUUAAGAAGCAGUGGCUUAAGAAGGAAGGACUUAAAAAUAUAUAGGUAUACAAACGAUCCACAAGAACCACGGGCUCAGUUGAAGCAUACAAUUUAAAUCUGGGCAAUAAAAUUCGAGCAAAGGGACACUUUUUCAAAUUUGUGGAAUGUAUCAUUGAUGCGAAGUAUGAAAAAUGUCGAGAAUUCGCUCUUCUCUUUCAAAACGGUGGGAUAGGUAAUUCAACACAACCAAAACAUAUACCUGAUAUGUUUCGCUAAAUGACCGUUUUACAAAACAGGACUUGUUCGAUAGUGUGCAUAUGGACUCCAAUUUGUCGGGAAUGUCAUCUGAAAUGAAGGCAUUAACAUCAUCCCUUUCGUCGAGUGACUCAAAAUCUAGUCAAAUAUCCGAUUCAUCUAUAUUUCAAAUGAAUCCCUGAAAUGUAUGUCUCAUCGAACCGAAAUCGGUUUUAUUGCGCCAAUGUAAUUUUGUGAAUAUUUGUGCAGCAUGUUGGGAUCAAAUUCUGGCUCAUAAUCAAGAACAGAACGAUGAUCCUAACGAUCCUGACAGUGGUGAACCAAAAUGUCCAACGUGUCAACAAGUUGUCAAAGAAGCUAUCCGUAAUGUUUAUAUAUAUAAUUAAAAAAUUAGAAUAAUAAACUAAGUUUCAUGCGCAUUAAAUAAAUGUAUGUAAUAUGGGCAAUUCUCUGACAGAAUUUGUGCGACCGUCUUUACAGGGAAAAAAACAUAAACUAAACCAAUUGGAAAAUAAGUGAGGAAUUCUUACUAAUCUAGAGCUAUGAGAAUAACCUUUCCUUAUUUUCAAAAUGUGUAUAGUUUAUGUUUUUUUCACUGUAAUGACGUUCACACAAAUUCGGUC